AACGAACGUUAGCGGCGCGCCUAACACAUGCAAGUCGCACGAGAAAGGGCUUCGGCCCCGGUAAAGUGGCGCACGGGUGAGUAACACGUAGGUAAUCUCCCCUCGAGUAGGGGAUAACUCUCCGAAAGGAGAGCUAAUACCGCAUAAGACACGGUUCCUUCGGUUCUGUGGCCAAAGCGGGCCGUCUUCACGAAAGCUCGCACUUGAGGAUGAGCCUGCGGCCCAUCAGGCAGUUGGCGGGGUAAUGGCCCACCAAACCUAAGACGGGUAGCUGGUCUGAGAGGAU
rnacentral:rRNA from 1 species